rnacentral:rRNA from 1 species
UUAAGUUGGGCACUCUAAGUUGACUGCCGGUGACAAACCGGAGGAAGGUGGGGAUGACGUCAAAUCAUCAUGCCCCUUAUGAUUUGGGCUACACACGUGCUACAAUGGACAAUACAAAGGGCAGCGAAACCGCGAGGUCAAGCAAAUCCCAUAAAGUUGUUCUCAGUUCGGAUUGUAGUCUGCAACUCGACUAUAUGAAGCUGGAAUCGCUAGUA